rnacentral:rRNA from 1 species
CAGUAGCCGCGGGAAUUCAGAGGAUGCAAGCGUUAUCCGGAAUGAUUGGGCGUAAAGCGUCUGUAGGUGGCUUUCCAAGUCCGCCGUCAAAUCCCAGGGCUCAACCCUGGACAGGCGGUGGAAACUACCAAGCUGGAGUACGGUAGGGGCAGAGGGAAUUUCCAGUGGAGCGGUGAAAUGCGUUGAGAUCGAAAAGAACACCAACAGCGAAAGCACUCUGCUGGGACGACACUGACACUGAGAGACGAAAGCUAGGGGAGCAAAUGGGAUUAGAUACCCCGGUAGUCCCUGUCUCUUAUAC